ACAUGCAAGUCGAGCGCAGGAAAUCGACGGAACCCUUCGGGGGGAAGUCGANGGAAUGAGCGGCGGACGGGUGAGUAACACGUAAAGAACCUGCCCUCAGGUCUGGGAUAACCACGAGAAAUCGGGGCUAAUACCGGAUGGGUCAUCGGACCGCAUGGUCCGAGGAUGAAAGGCGCUUCGGCGUCGCCUGGGGAUGGCUUUGCGGUGCUUAGCUAGUUGGUGGGGUAAUGGCCCACCAAGGCGACGAUGCAUAGCCGACCUGAGAGGGUGAUCGGCCACACUGGGACUGAGACACGGCCCAGACUCCUACGGGAGGCAGCAGUAGGGAAUCUUCCACAAUGGACGAAAGUCUGAUGGAGCAACGCCGCGUGAACGAUGAAGGCCUUCGGGUCGUAAAGUUCUGUUGUAAGGGAAGAACAAGUGCCGCAGGCAAUGGCGGCACCUUGACGGUACCUUGCGAGAAGCCACGGCUAACUACGUGCCAGCAGCCGCGGUAAUACGUAGGUGGCAAGCGUUGUCCGGAAUUAUUGGGCGUAAAGCGCGCGCAGGCGGCCUCUUAAGUCUGAUGUGAAAGCCCCCGGCUCAACCGGGGAGGGCCAUUGGAAACUGGGAGGCUUGAGUAUAGGAGAGAAGAGUGGAAUUCCACGUGUAGCGGUGAAAUGCGUAGAGAUGU
rnacentral:rRNA from 1 species